rnacentral:rRNA from 1 species
AGAGUUUGAUCAUGGCUCAGAUUGAACGCUGGCGGCAGGCCUAACACAUGCAAGUCGAACGGUAACAUUUCUAGCUUGCUAGAAGAUGACGAGUGGCGGACGGGUGAGUAAUGCUUGGGAACUUGCCUUUGCGAGGGGGAUAACAGUUGGAAACGACUGCUAAUACCGCAUAAUGUCUACGGACCAAACGGGGCUUAGGCUCCGGCGCAAAGAGAGGCCCAAGUGAGAUUAGCUAGUUGGUAAGGUAAUGGCUUACCAAGGCAACGAUCUCUAGCUGUUCUGAGAGGAAGAUCAGCCACACUGGAACUGAGACACGGUCCAGACUCCUACGGGAGGCAGCAGUGGGGAAUAUUGCACAAUGGGGGAAACCCUGAUGCAGCCAUGCCGCGUGUGUGAAGAAGGCCUUCGGGUUGUAAAGCACUUUCAGUUGUGAGGAAAAGUUAGUAGUUAAUACCUGCUAGCCGUGACGUUAACAACAGAAGAAGCACCGGCUAACUCCGUGCCAGCAGCCGCGGUAAUACGGAGGGUGCGAGCGUUAAUCGGAAUUACUGGGCGUAAAGCGCACGCAGGCGGUUUGUUAAGCUAGAUGUGAAAGCCCCGGGCUCAACCUGGGAUGGUCAUUUAGAACUGGCAGACUAGAGUCUUGGAGAGGGGAGUGGAAUUCCAGGUGUAGCGGUGAAAUGCGUAGAUAUCUGGAGGAACAUCAGUGGCGAA